rnacentral:rRNA from 1 species
GCAUGGUUGUCGUCAGCUCGUGUCGUGAGAUGUGGUUAAGUCCCGCAACGAGCGCAACCCUCGACCUUAGUUGCCAGCAUUCAGUUGGGCACUCUAAGGUGACUGCCGGCUAAAAGUCGGAGGAAGGUGGGGAUGACGUCAAAUCAUCAUGCCCCUUAUGACCUGGGCUACACACGUGCUACAAUGGGCGGUACAAAGGGUCGCGAACCCGCGAGGGGGAGCCAAUCCCAAAAAGCCGCUCUCAGUUCGGAUUGCAGGCUGCAACUCGCCUGCAUGAAGCCGGAAUCGCUAGUAAUCGCGGAUCAGCAUGCCGCGGUGAAUACGUUCCCGGGCCUU